rnacentral:rRNA from 1 species
UUCCUACGGGGCGCAGCAGUGAGGAAUAUUGGUCAAUGGGUGCGAGCCUGAACCAGCCAAGUCGCGUGAGGGAAGACGGUCCUAUGGAUUGUAAGCCUCUUUUGUCGGGGAGCAAAAGACGCCACGUGUGGCGUUCCGAGAGUACCCGAAGAAAAAGCAUCGGCUAACUCCGUGCCAGCAGCCGCGGUAAUACGGAGGAUGCGAGCGUUAUCCGGAUUUAUUGGGUUUAAAGGGUGCGUAGGCGGAUCGUUAAGUCAGUGGUCAAAUUGAGGGGCUCAACCCCUUCCCGCCAUUGAAACUGGCGC